GAAGACAGAUGGCUCUGUUGGAUUUAGCACCAUAGAAGAUUCUAGUAACCUUGGCAAAGGGAAAGUUUGGUAGAAUAAUAGGAGCAGGUAAAUGAAAAGGAUGUGAAGACAGGAAGCAGGGAGAGGAGAUUACCGGAAACAGGAAGAAGAGAGUGAAGUGGGACUAGGGAAGGAACUCUUCACGAUGCCCCAUGUUGUAGGAUGCCGGUGACAGUGGGCUGAGAUGCGCUCCAGAGGCUGCUGACAGAAUCCACAAGGAAACCCUGCAAGAUGGAGGAAGGGGUCUCUAAACAGGUGGACUUAGGGAGGGGUUCCCUCCAUUGCAUCCAGGAAGAAAUGCCGGGGUACAGAUCUUCUCACAAGCGUUGUGCCUCCAUAUCCUCAUCCCAGGCAAGCACGUGGACCAAAGCAGACAGGUUUCACGGGCUGGAGAGAUGGCUCAGCGGUUAAGAGCACCCAACUACUCUUCUAGAGAUCCUGAGUUCAGUUCCCAGCAACCACAUGGUGGCUCACAACCAUCUGUAAAGGGAUCUGAUGCCCUCUUCUGGUGUAUCUGAAGACAGCUACAGUGUACUUAUAUAUAAUAAGUGAAUAAAUCUUUAAAAAAAAAAAAUAAAAUAAAGACAGGUUUCACUGU